rnacentral:rRNA from 1 species
CCUACGGGGGGCAGCAGUGGGGAAUAUUGGACAAUGGGGGCAACCCUGAUCCAGCCAUGCCGCGUGUGUGAAGAAGGCCCUCGGGUUGUAAAGCACUUUCAGUGAGGAAGAACGCCUGGUGGUUAAUACCCAUCAGGAAAGACAUCACUCACAGAAGAAGCACCGGCUAACUCCGUGCCAGCAGCCGCGGUAAUACGGAGGGUGCGAGCGUUAAUCGGAAUUACUGGGCGUAAAGCGCGCGUAGGUGGCUUGAUAAGCCGGUUGUGAAAGCCCCGGGCUCAACCUGGGAACGGCAUCCGGAACUGUCAAGCUAGAGUGCAGGAGAGGAAGGUAGAAUUCCCGGUGUAGCGGUGAAAUGCGUAGAGAUCGGGAGGAAUACCAGUGGCGAAGGCGGCCUUCUGGACUGACACUGCCACUGAGGUGCGAAAGCGUGGGUAGCAAACAGGAUUAGAUACCCUGGUAGUC